GGAUGCGAUCAUACCAGCACUAAUGCACCGGAUCCCAUCAGAACUCCGAAGUUAAGCGUGCUUGGGCGAGAGUAGUACUAGGAACGGGAAGUCCUCGUGUUGCAUCCC
rnacentral:rRNA from 1 species